UACGGGGGGGGCGAGCGUUAUUCGGAAUUAUUGGGCGUAAAGGGCGCGUAGGCGGCCUGACAAGUCAAAGGUGAAAUCCCUCGGCUCAACUGAGGAACUGCCUUUGAAACUGCCAGGCUUGAGUCCGGGAGGGGGUAGCGGAAUUCCCAGUGUAGCGGUGAAAUGCGUAGAUAUUGGGAGGAACACCAGUGGCGAAGGCGGCUACCUGGACCGGUACUGACGCUGAUGCGCGAAAGCGUGGGGAGCAAACAGG
rnacentral:rRNA from 1 species